rnacentral:rRNA from 1 species
AUUAGCUUGUUGGUAGGGUAAUGGCCUACCAAGGCGACGAUGGGUAGCCGGCNUGAGAGGGUGGUCGGCCACACUGGAACUGAGACACGGUCCAGACUCCUACGGGAGGCAGCAGCCGAGAGGCUUCGGCAAUGGGGGAAACCCUGACCGAGCGACGCCGCGUGGGUGAUGAAGUCCUUCGGGAUGUAAAACCCUGUCAUACGGGAUGAAAAACCGAUUGGUUAAUAGCCUUUCAGUUUGACAGUACUGUAAGAGGAAGCUCCGGCUAACUCCGUGCCAGCAGCCGCGGUAGUACGGGGGGAGCGAGCGUUAUUCGGAUUCACUGGGCGUAAAGGGUUCGUAGGCGGUCAAGUAAGUCAGGGGUGAAAUCUAACGGCUUAACCGUUAAACUGCCCUUGAAACCGCUUGACUUGAGGACAUGAGAGGAAAGCGGAAUUCUUGGUGUAGCGGUGAAAUGCGUGGAUAUCAAGAGGAACACCAGUGGCGAAGGCGGCUUUCUGGCAUGUUACUGACGCUGAGGAACGAAAGUCAGGGGAGCGAACGGGAUUAGAUACCCCGGUAGUCCUGACUGUAAACGAUGGGCACUAGGUGUGGGAGGUAUCGACCCCUUCCGUGCCGCAGCUAACGCAUUAAGUGCCCCGCCUGGGGAGUACGGCCGCAAGGUUGAAACUCAAAUGAAUUGAC